CAUUGUUCAUUGGGAGGUUUACAACCUCAUUGUUCAUUGGGAGGUUUACAACCUCAUUGUUCAUUGGGAGGUUUACAACCUCAUUGUUCAUUGGGAGGUUUACAACCUCAUUGUUCAUUGGGAGGUUUACAACCUCAUUGUUCAUUGGGAGGUUUACAACCUCAUUGUUCAUUGGGAGGUUUACAACCUCAUUGUUCAUUGGGAGGUUUACAACCUCAUUGUUCAUUGGGAGGUUUACAACCUCAUUGUUCAUUGGGAGGUUUACAACCUCAUUGUUCAUUGGGAGGUUUACAACCUCAUUGUUCAUUGGGAGGUUUACAACCUCAUUGUUCAUUGGGAGGUUUACAACCUCAUUGUUCAUUGGGAGGUUUACAACCUCAUUGUUCAUUGGGAGGUUUACAACCUCAUUGUUCAUUGGGAGGUUUACAACCUCAUUGUUCAUUGGGAGGUUUACAACCUCAUUGUUCAUUGGGAGGUUUACAACCUCAUUGUUCAUUGGGAGGUUUACAACCUCAUUGUUCAUUGGGAGGUUUACAACCUCAUUGUUCAUUGGGAGGUUUACAACC